CACAGCUUCUUAAAUCUACCUUUCUGUUUAAUAUAAAAAUCACAAUUGAAAUAGAGCAGCUAUUCACAAAGUGAAUUAAGAUCACUUUUACAAUAGCUGGCGUAGUAAAAACAGUGUUUAUGAAAAGGCAUAAAAUGCUGCAUAUGUGUAAAUACAAGGAGCCUAGUAUGCACGAAUUUCACAAAUUCGAGACAAAUGCUAAUAAAAAACCCUAUAUAUUUAUACCUGAUGAAUACCACUCAAUUCCGAAAGACUACAAAUAGUACAAUUAGAAACUUCUCCCAUAAUAACCUUAGGCCUUGGUUGUUAAGACCUGCCUGCACUCGGGAGAACUGCUUACUAGGUUGACCCCCUUCUGCAUUCCUGCCCAAUUCCCAGAUUCCAAAGUUUUCAGGAGAAUUUUAACUUGCGCAAGGCCCAGGUCACCUGUGAUGUAGGCCGAUGAAGUGAUCGUUUAUGUUUUUUGUUUGUGUGUUUGUUUGUUUGUUUUAACGGGGGAAUAAAAGAUUCGACAGAAAAAGUCACCCUGAGCAAUGCAACAGCAAGGACCAGAACGACCACAGGUGUAACAACCCGUGAUGGGGAUAUUCACCACUUGCAACACACUAUCCACGAAUGGUGACAGCGACGUUCGCAGGCCUCGAGCUGAUGGGAAGACCGAGGCCGAGGGCCGGCGACCUGAGCGGAGUUCUCUGAUGCUCCACGGAGACCCAAGCCAGUGCUUUUCCAUACGGUAGACGGGGUCGUGGGCGCAUCGGGAACCAACCUCGGAUUCCCCACUCCGUUUCCCGCGCUGCUUCUGGAAACCCAUCUGUAGAAUGCAAGUCAGGGAGCACCCAGAGCGGACAAGCAGCCAGUGAGAGGAAUGGGAGAAGAAGUGGCCAGGGAAGAAGACCGGGGGUUCUUCACCUCUGGUGAAUUACUAUUGUGAAUAUUUUUUUUUUGUUUGUUGUUGUUGUUUUUAGACACCCACACCAAGGAGAAUGGGCUUAGAGUGCUAGUGUUUACAAAUUCCCGUGACUUUGUGGAGAUUUUAAGGCAUUUUCCAUUAUAGAAAAUUGAGAAAAUGCAGAAAAGUUCGACGAGGAAAACAAAAACCCCAAAUUCUGCCCCUCAAAGAGAUGAUCAUUUUAGUUUGUUUCCUUUCAGUAUUUGUUCCUACUUUGUGUAUUUGUUUUUAUAUUUAUACAUUUUCCUCUUUCCCCUGUAUAUGUAAUAUGGUAGCCAUUUUUUUUCACUUUAUGUUCUGUUGCAAGCACUUAUGUCAUUACAAAAUCCUUCGUUUCCCACAUUAAAUAUGUAACCUAAUAAAAAUUAACUGUAACUACGGCAAA